rnacentral:rRNA from 1 species
GACAGAGGGUGCAAACGUUGUUCGGAAUUACUGGGCGUAAAAGCGCGUGUAGGCGGCCAUCUAAGUCGGGCGUGAAAUCCCACGGCUCAACCGUGGAAGUGCACUCGAAACUGGAUGGCUAGAGUCCUGGAGAGGAAGGUGGAAUGCUUGGUGUAGAGGUGAAAUUCGUAGAUAUCAAGCGGAACACCGGUGGCGAAGGCGGCCUUCUGGACAGUGACUGACGCUGAGACGCGAAAGCGUGGGGAGCAAACAGG